GGCUCAAUGGUCUAGUGGUAUGAUUCGCGCUUCGGGUUGAUCACCCUUGAUUUGAAUACAAAUCAUGUGCGAGGUCUCGGGUUCGAUCCCCGAUUGAGCCC